UAUACCACCCAUACCUGAGUCUUACCCUGCUGAUGUUCCACACUUGCUCGAUCAAUCUCAUGCGUUAACUGCUUAUACGCCAGCAUGGACGAUGAGAGGUCUUUCUCUACAAUAUAUGCCACCUUCUGAUCCACCUGAUCCCCAUACUCCAUCAAAGUCAAGCUAUUGACUCUAAACAAGCACUUAGUGGGAGACAACCCACUUGUAUGGGUUUUUUUUCUUUUUCUUUUUCUUUUAUUUUACGUUUUU
rnacentral:sRNA from 1 species